CAAGUCGAGUGCGCGUUUCCGUAGCAAUACGGAAAUGGCGCACGGCGCACGGGUGCGUAACACGUGGGUUAAUCUGCCCUCUGAUGGGGAAUAACCCGCCGAAAGGCGGGCUAAUACCGCAUAACAUUCCUUGGACUCCGGUUCGAGGAUUCAAAGGCGUAAGUCGUCGGAGGUGGAGCCCGCGCACGAUUAGCUAGUUGGUGAGGUAAUGGCUCACCAAGGCUUUGAUCGUUAGCUGGUCUGAGAGGAUGGCCAGCCACACUGGAACUGAGACACGGUCCAGACUCCUACGGGAGGCAGCAGUGGGGAAUCUUGCACAAUGGGCGAAAGCCUGAUGCAGCGACGCCGCGUGGGGGAUGAAGCUUCUCGGAGUGUAAACCCCUUUCGACCGGGACGAAUACCUCGCAAGAGGGGUGACGGUACCGGUAUAAGAAGCCCCGGCUAACUACGUGCCAGCAGCCGCGGUAAGACGUAGGGGGCCAGCGUUGCUCGGAAUUACUGGGUGUAAAGGGUUCGUAGGCGGUGUGGCAAGUCGGGAGUGAAAUCUCUGGGCUCAACCCAGGGGCUGCUUCCGAAACUGCCGUGCUAGAGUGUGGGAGAGGCGCGUGGAAUUGCAGGUGUAGCGGUGAAAUGCGUAGAUAUCUGCAGGAACACCCGUGGCGAAAGCGGCGCGCUGGACCACUACUGACGCUGAGGAAUGAAAGCUAGGGGAGCAAACAGGAUUAGAUACCCUGGUAGUCCUAGCCCUAAACGAUCAGGACUUGGGGUGCCACCCGUUCGGGUGUCGUCCCGGAGCUAACGCGUUAAGUCCUGCACCUGGGGAGUACGGUCGCAAGACUGAAACUCAAA
rnacentral:rRNA from 1 species